rnacentral:rRNA from 1 species
CAGCAGCCGCGGUAAUACGUAGGGUGCAAGCGUUGUCCGGAAUUAUUGGGCGUAAAGAGCUCGUAGGCGGUUUGUCGCGUCUGCUGUGAAAUCCCGAGGCUCAACCUCGGGCUUGCAGUGGGUACGGGCAGACUAGAGUGCGGUAGGGGAGAUUGGAAUUCCUGGUGUAGCGGUGGAAUGCGCAGAUAUCAGGAGGAACACCGAUGGCGAAGGCAGAUCUCUGGGCCGUAACUGACGCUGAGGAGCGAAAGCAUGGGGAGCGAACAGGAUUAGAUACCCCUGUAGUCCUGUCUCUUAUACA